rnacentral:rRNA from 1 species
AUUGAACGCUGGCGGCAUGCCUUACACAUGCAAGUCGAACGGCAGCACGGGGGCAACCCUGGUGGCGAGUGGCGAACGGGUGAGUAACAUAUCGGAACAUACCCUAGAGUGGGGGAUAACGUAGCGAAAGUUACGCUAAUACCGCAUACGAUCUAAGGAUGAAAGUGGGGGAUCUUCGGACCUCAUGCUCAUGGAGUGGCCGAUAUCUGAUUAGCUAGUUGGUGAGGUAAAGGCUCACCAAGGCGACGAUCAGUAGCUGGUUUGAGAGAACGACCAGCCACACUGGAACUGAGACACGGUCCAGACUCCUACGGAGGCAGCAGUGGGGAAUUUUGGACAAUGGGGGCAACCCUGAUCCAGCAAUGCCGCGUGAGUGAAGAAGGCC